GCUAGUAAUCACAGGUCAGCAUACUGUGGUGAAUACGUUCCCGGGCCUUGUACACACCGCCCGUCACACCAUGAGAGUUGAGAAUACCCGAAGCCCAUGUCAAAGUGGUCGAAGGUAGGCUUGAUGAUUGGGGUGAAGUCGUAACAAGGUACC
rnacentral:rRNA from 1 species